GACGAACGCUGGCGGCGUGCCUAAUACAUGCAAGUUGAGCGCUGAAGGUUGGUACUUGUACCAACUGGAUGAGCAGCGAACGGGUGAGUAACGCGUGGGGAAUCUGCCUUUGAGCGGGGGACAACAUUUGGAAACGAAUGCUAAUACCGCAUAAAAACUUUAAACACAAGUUUUAAGUUUGAAAGAUGCAAUUGCAUCACUCAAAGAUGAUCCCGCGUUGUAUUAGCUAGUUGGUGAGGUAAAGGCUCACCAAGGCGAUGAUACAUAGCCGACCUGAGAGGGUGAUCGGCCACAUUGGGACUGAGACACGGCCCAAACUCCUACGGGAGGCAGCAGUAGGGAAUCUUCGGCAAUGGACGAAAGUCUGACCGAGCAACGCCGCGUGAGUGAAGAAGGUUUUCGAAUCGUAAAACUCUGUUGGUAGAGAAGGACGUUGGUGAGAGUGGAAAGCUCAUCAAGUGACGGUAACUACCCAGAAAGGGACGGCUAACUACGUG
rnacentral:rRNA from 1 species